AGGUCAGUGUGAUGGGCACACGGGGUUGAGAAGGGCUGCUCUAAGCUCCCUGCCCCCACCUUCCCUCCCUGAUGCCCAGAACACCCCGUCUUCCUGCCCACCAGACGCACGCCUUCCCUCCUCUGCUCAGUGGCCCUGGCCGGUCGCCCACACAAAGCAUCCGGGCUCUGAAGAGAGAGAUGUGUCUGGGCGUGUGCCGAGCAGGGCAGGCACCGUGUGCUCACAGGGUACUAUUCGCAUCACUGGUCUUCCUGUCCCUCCCCCAGCCUCGUCGGCACUCACUCUACAGUGGCUCGCCCACAUUUCCACUGCCGCCUCUUGUUCCUGAAUAUGAUGCCAGCGUGUCAUCGUUGGCCCGCGUCCUGACAUGUGCUCCUUCUCUCUGUGGCCUACGGAGCUGGCUUGCGCUCGGUGGUUCCCAAGCCUACAGGCCACUGGAAGUGAGCUCCAAAAAUACAGAUUCCCCGGCCCCGGCCCUAGAGGUGCUGAGAUGACCGGACCUGGGAAUCAAACUUUUUAAAAGCUCCCUGUCUGACUCGGAUAUCAGCUGGCUUGGGAACGGCUGCCUUAGAUCAGUGGUUUCCAAACAUUUCUUUUCACCUCUAAAAUCUUACCCAGCAGUACAGUAGCUCAAGAGAUAAAAGCGGAACUGGUUUGGAUGAAGAGGAGUUGAGGCUCCAGAGCUCAGGCUUCUUCUCACCUCCAGAGUCUCUGGUGCCUCCCAAGAGCCUUCCUGCCCUAUGGAACCCUAUUUGAAAACCAGUACCUACCUCAGUGUGGUGCCAAGGUGUCCUGCUCCCCACCCCUCCCAUGCAGUUCUCCGCAGCGGACGCGAGGUGGCGGUGUGAGGACAGGGACGGGGAGAGGAGCGUUACCGAGCCACCAGGAAGAGGACGCAGCUGACGGCCAGAUAGGCUAGAAGCAUGAAGAGCCAGACGCCUGGAGAAAAUGGGUCCAGGAAGGAGAAAUAGCCAGAUGGAAGAACUGAGACCCGGGGAGGUUAAGUGCCUUGCUCAAAUCAGUGGCGAUGCCUUCCAUUUCUCCGGUGCUCGUUCGUCAAGCUGCGCCAUAGAGAUGCCACUUCUCUUUCGUUCAGAUGGCAGCUGUACCGCGUCUCCCUCUUCCUCCUUUAUCUUUGCAACUUGCUCCAAUAAACUCCCUAAUUAAUCUCA